rnacentral:rRNA from 1 species
AUGGCUUCCCUGGCGUCCUCAGCUUCUGGCGACCUCAACCCGUUCGCCGUCCUUGAGCCAUCCACCGCCGCAGCCCUCCGCCAUGUCCCAAUUCAUGACCACAUCCUCAUCACCCUCGACCUACACACUCCCUCCUUCUCCACCUGGCGUACGUAUUUCUCUUUGACGUUCCGCGAGUUCGGCAUCCGCGACCACGUCGACGGAUCGGUGGAUGCCAUGGCCAUGCAGCAUGAUGUCCACUGGCUAGCUGUGGAUGCCACCAUCGUCAAGUGGCUCUAUCGCACGGUGUCUCGCGAGAUUCUCUCGCACAUCAUCCGCGACAACGACACCGCGCUGGGCGCCUGGGCCUCCAUCUGCCAGCUCUUCCUCGACAAUCGUCUCCAGCGCCAGGUACUGUUAACCACCGAGUUCUACAGCCUGACGCAGGAUGGGAUGGGGCUGUUCGACUACUGCUUGCGCCUCAAGGUCCUCGCCGACGAGCUGCGUGAUGUGGGUGCGGCCGUCUCCGACGCCACCAUGCUCACGAAUCUCAUUCGUGGGCUGGGUCCCGACUACGCCAACGCCGCCUCCAACCUCAACCUGCUGACGGAGCCAACGUUCGCGCGUGCCGUCAACUACCUACGCCUCGAGGAACGGCGCAUGCGGCACGCUUCGCUGCAGCGCGCCCAGACAGCCCUGGCCGUCGGCACCACGCGCGCUCCGGCCGCGCCCAACCCCGUCCCCGCGCCCGCGGCCCCUCCGGCGGCCGCCUCUCCACCCGGCAACACCCGCAAGAAGAAACGCGGGAACGACGGGCGUCCCCGCUCCUCCGGCCAGACUUCGGCCGGGCCUCGUCCACCAGCUCCGCCGGCUGCACCGGCGCCGUGGUUCGGCGGGGUCAACCCCUGGACGGGCGUGGUGCAUGCCUGGGCCAUGCCCCCGACGCGCGCGCCGCAUCCCGGCAUCCUCGGCCCGCGGCCCGCGGGUCAUCAGGCGCUGCUCGCCGCGCCCCAGCCCGACGGGGUCCCUCCUCCGCCGCCCUCUUCGUGGCCGCCGGCGCCUGCCUCCUCCUGGACGGGUGCUUCUUCGUCCACCUACGACCCCGCCCUCCUUUCUGCACUUCAGCAGGCCCCGCCGCCGAGCGCCUACCCCGGGAACGGCGACUGGUUCAUGGACACCGGGGCCUCCUCUCAUAUGGCGUCGCACCCUAGUAUCCUCUCCCACUCCCGUCCCUUUCCCACCUCCACCCGCAUCAUCUUCGGUGACGGCUCUUCUCUCCCCAUCACCCACCGCGGUGGCCUCUCCCUCCCUUCCUCUGGUGCUCCUGUUCGCUUAUAUGAUGUUCUUGUCUCACCGCAUCUCAUUACCAAUUUAGUUUCUGUUCGUGCUCUCACUCGCCAGAACCCGGUUACAGUUGAAUUUGACGCCUUUGGUUUCUCUGUCAAGGACCUCUAG